rnacentral:pre_miRNA from 1 species
UAGUAGUAUGACAUGCCCGUUUGGGAUAUACUCUGAUGUAUUUUUAUUUAUUAUUUAAUUGCUUUGGGAUAACGGGGUGUUACAAUUGGU